GGAGCUGUCAGGUGCAGCCUGUCUCCAGCCCCAUGGCCUGAUGGCCAGGCCGUCUGGGAGCUGUUCACUCACUGAUGGACCAAGCCGCCCCACCCCCGGCUGAGCGCCCAGAUGGAGGCCAGGGGCAACCGAGGGGCCGCCCGGGGGGCGAGGCCGACGGCCGAGGCCAGUGGAGGCCCCGCGUCCUGUCCCCUGAAGGUCUCCAGGAACUCAUCAAUGGUCACCACCCCGUCCUGAUUCCGGUCCAUCUUCUGCAACUCAAGCCACGCCCUCAACAGGUCCCUGGCGGAGCCGCGGGCAGCUCUUGGAAGGCACAGGAACACUGCCGGGGGGUGUCGGCGGCCUUGGGAUCUGUGAGCCCCUGCCUGCUCUGAGACGCAGUUUGGCAGAUCAGUGAGCGGGGAGGGCUUUCAUUCGCUCCCUGGGAUCCGGACAACCGGCCCGAUGGGGGAUGCAAGUUGAACCUCCUCGUGGGAGCGGGGAGGCCCCCAGAGGGCAGUGGCAGGCCCAGGACUGCCCGAAGAGCCGAAGCCCCUUCCUCCUCUGGCCGCCCUUCCCGCGCAGCCCGGGGCUGGAGCGCUCACCUGGAAGAACCGCUCCACGUGCUCCAGGGGCGCGUCCUCCCGCAGGAUGGGGACCUCUCCGUAAGAAAGGAUGAUCCAGGACACCUGUUGAACGGGAUCGAGACACGUGGUGAGGGGCACCAGAGCUCCACGUCGCCCGCGCCCAGGUUAAAGGCCCACUUGAGUUUCUCAUGGACUGUUCCUCGCAGGAGGAUGGAGAGACCGACCACAAAGUCCUGUGGAGGAAGGGGAGGGGGCUCAGAUUCUAGUUCCAGUUCGCGGUGUGGCUUCCACUGAAACUCACACCUAUACAGGUGAGGCACCUCCAUCACAGAGCGGGCAGAUGGUGUCCAUCAGGUCAAUACAGUGUGAGUGUGUGUGAGUGUGUGUGUGUGUGUGUGUGUGAGUGUGUGUGAGUGUGUGUGUGUGUGCGUGUGUGUGUGUGCGUGUGUGUGGCGGGGAUGGCACAGUGGCUGGAACUGAUCAUCUCAA